UGAGAAUCUGGCUUCAGGUUCGGGACAACAGUUGGAAACGGCUGCUAAUACCGGAUGUGCCCUUGGGUGAAAGAUUUAUCACCUGAAGAUGAGCUCGCGUCUGAUUAGCUAGUAGGUGUGGUAAGAGCGCACCUAGGCGACGAUCAGUAGCUGGUCUGAGAGGAUGAUCAGCCACACUGGGACUGAGACACGGCCCAGACUCCUACGGGAGGCAGCAGUGGGGAAUUUUCCGCAAUGGGCGAAAGCCUGACGGAGCAAUACCGCGUGAGGGAGGAAGGCUCUUGGGUUGUAAACCUCUUUUCUCAGGGAAGAAUAAAUGACGGUACCUGAGGAAUAAGCAUCGGCUAACUCCGUGCCAGCAGCCGCGGUAAUACGGAGGAUGCAAGCGUUAUCCGGAAUGAUUGGGCGUAAAGCGUCCGCAGGUGGCAAUGUAAGUCUGCUGUCAAAGCGUCUGGCUCAACCAGAUAAAGGCAGUGGAAACUACAUAGCUAGAGUAAGGUAGGGGUAGAGGGAAUUCCUGGUGUAGCGGUGAAAUGCGUAGAGAUCAGGAAGAACACCGGUGGCGAAAGCGCUUUGCUGGACCUUAACUGACACUGAGGGACGAAAGCUAGGGGAGCGAAUGGGAUUAGAUACCCCA
rnacentral:rRNA from 1 species